UAGGGGUGAAAUGCCAAGCGAACCCGGAGAUAGCUGGUUCUCCCCGAAAUGCAUUUAGGUGCAGCCUUGGACGAGACCACCAUGGAGGUAGCGCACUGGUUCGGCGAUGGGGCUUCCCGCUUACUGACCCGUAUCAAACGUCGAAUGCCGUGGAGGACAAUCCAGGAGUGAGACUGUGGGAGCUAAGUUCCAUGGUCGAGAGGGAAACAGCCCAGACCGCCAGCUAAGGUCCCCAAGUACAUGCUAAGUGGGCAAGGUAGUCGUGGCGCGCAGACAACCAGGA
rnacentral:rRNA from 1 species